UUUAAGCCCCGCCUCUCUCUGCGUUUGCAGAGCGCAUGCGUCCUGCUGAGAUCUAAGCUGAUUUUGUUGGUUGGGAGUUGGACUCUGUGUCGGAGAGGUUUGUGGCUUGUUCUGCUCCACGCCAGAGUUUGCAAUACUGUAUAGGAUGCAGCUGCUGUACUAGGCGCCCUCGGAACGUUUACUUUCUAUUAUCUUGUAAUACAGCUGUAUAUGCACUUACAUUCUCUCCCCAAGCCGGACGGUGGAACUUUAGAGAACAAGACCUUGCAUUCACAGGCCAGAGAUUGACACAGGAAAUCGGGCCCUUAUUUUCAGAGUGGACAGUCAAGUUUUCCAGAGGCUACAAGACAUGUGUGGACAUUACCGCUCUAACGGCCAACGGAAUUGUGUUUUAAACAUUUCUGUUUUAACAUUCAUGGGGAGUAAGGGGACUGAGGCUCAGAGAGGCGAACUCAACGCAGACACAAAACUCAACGCUCGAAGAGGCUCAUAGUGACCUCUGACCCGGAGCCUGUGUUGUUAACCUGUACAGGAGCAGGGGUUGUCAACUGUUUCCUGAUCCUUGGCCCCCAACUUUGCCUCAGAGCCGUGACUCUCCCCCUCCAACUUCAGGAUUUUUCCAGAGGAGCAAAAUCUCAUGCACCAUUUGGACGAAAAUAUUUUUGGCUGGUGUUCCCACCCCCUGUUCCCGUUGGAGUCCAGUCCCCAAUGUCAUGCAGCCUGGAGUGGGAGCAGCUCAAAAAUUCCCAAGGAUAAAUUUUAUGGUAUGUAUAUUUUACAACAAUAAAAAUUCCCAAGGGGCGGCAUCCUGCAUCCUCCGCCUUCUGCCACCAUGUUAUAUCACAGUGUGUGGGGCUGACGUCACAGGGACGGGGCGUGGGUUCUGCUGUAGCUGUCUGUUCUCUCUGCUCCUGGCUCUCCCUUCCAGCUCUGCGCUCUGCGCUCUGCCAGGGCCGCCCGCAGGCCUUGCUUGCUUUUUCAAAAAUAACUCUUGAGUCUCUCACGGAGGUGGGGGGCCGCUUCCUUGGUGUCCUGGGCUGUGUGUUAAUCCUUCCAAGGCAAGACUUCCUGAAGCGACUCUCUGCUGGGCUGGGGGGCUGGUCAUCAGUCGUCAGGCUGAAGUAGUUCAGGUGCCGGCAUCCUGUUCUAGCACCUAUUACCUUCAAGGAAGUAGGGCUAAUGGGUCUUCUCGGGCACCCACUAAGUCAUUCAUUCAUUCAUUCAUUGAUUCAGACAUUCAACGAGCAUUUAGUCAGGCCCUUUGCCUACAGAGCACACUUCUGGGUGGCUGCUGUUUUUCCAUUUGCUUCUGAAUCCUGUCCCUGCUUCUCUGAAUUUCUGCUUCCUCCUCUAAAGUAGGGGAUCUUAAUUAGGGUAGCCAGUCAGGCUCAGAAGGAAACAGAUGGCAUACUCAAAUUGGGUAACUUGAGGAAGGGCAAAUAAAGGGACUGUUUAGGUGUGAGCAGGGUGUAGAGAAGUCCUGAGGGAUAGUGUAGUGCUGAGCUAGCUAGUUACGGUGGGAGACCUGUCACUUCCAAGGCCUGGCGGGCUGAGGGGGCAGUUCCACUACCCAGAAGGAGGUCUGUGGAGAGAGAGCCACUUUUAGAGAAUCUGUGACCUUCUGUUGGACGCAGGAGCCUGAGGUGCUCUGCAGGGAGGGAGCAGAGGAAUAAAUAUCCCGGUCUUCCUUCUUCCUUCCAUCUCCUCCUGGGGGGCUCCCCACUGGCCAAACCUGAUUAAAAGCCAAAAAAUAUGGGAGACUGUUGCAUGUGAACAGGUCAGUCUCCUUGGGCACAGAGCAGGGCAGAAAAGGGAGGACAGUGGCUCUAGACGGACAAACAGGAUAUCCAGCUUGUCACCUACCACUGGCAAUAGUAUUGUAGGUCACAUGAUAAAUGCUCAGUAAGUGUUAGCUACUAUCAUCAGUGCUUGUAUUAGUUAUUUACUGCUGUGUAACUAAUGACCACGAAACUUAGUGGCUUGAAACAAUAAACAUUUAUCACCUCACACAGUUUCUGUGGGUCAUGAAUUUGGAGCAGCUCGGCUGGGUGGUUCUGUCUCAGUGUCUCUCCCGAGGUCGCAAUCAAGCUGUCAGCCAGUCAUCGAAAGGCUUGACUGGGACUGAAGGAUCCCGUGGCUGGCAAGCUGGCACCGGCUGUUGGCAGGGGGCCUCGAUUCUCUGCCACCCAGACCUCUCCACAGGGCUGCUUGAGAGUCCUCAUGAUGUGGCUUCUCCCAGAAAGAGUGAUGCAAGAGCAGAAGGCUCAAUGUGUUUUCUGACUUAGUCUCAAAAACCACAGAUGGUCAUUUUGACAAUAUCCUCUAGGUGACACAGGUCAGAGCCUAUUCCAUGUAGAGGGGGCCACACGGGGGCAGGGGUGUCAGGCAGCAGGACUCAUUGGAAACCUUCUUUGAGUUUGGCUACCACCCUUUGCAAUACAUUUGCUCAUUUCAUCCUUUCAAAAAUUCCAUGAGGUUAUCUAAAAACAACAGCAACAAACAAAAAACAAAACAAAAAAUGAGGAAAGUAUUAUUAUUCUAACUUUUCUGUUGAGGAAAUAUAGGCACAGAAAAGUGACAUAAUUUACCCAAGGUUACAGUUAGUAAUAGGCAAAGCCAGGAAUUGAACGCAGGUGGUCUUUUUAUUAAAAAAAAUCAAUUUUAAUUGGGCUCUAAUUUACAUACAAUAAAAAACACUCCGACGGAGAUACAGGAUGUUUCCAUCCUGCCAAUUUUUCUUCAUGCCCUUUUGCUGUCAGUCCUCCCGGGCUCUGCUCCAGGCAGUCACUGAUCUGCUUUCUGUCACUAUAGAUUUCUUUCUUUUUUAUUGCUGAAUAGUAUUCAAAUGCAUAGAUAUAGCACCAGUCCUUGACAUAAUUCUCCUGUUGAGUGACAUUUGGGUUGUUUCCAGUUUGGGGCUAUUAUGAAUAAAGCUGCGGUGAACCUCAUGUAAAAGUCUUUGUGUGGACAUAUGUUUUCAUUUUUCUCAGGUAAACAACUAGGAGUGGAAUUGCUAAAUCAUAGGAUAAGUGUAUAUUUCACUUCAUAAGAAACUGCCAAAGUUUUCCAACGUAACUGUACCAUUUUACAGUUCCACCAGGAGUGUAUGCGAGUUCUGGUUUUUCAGUAUCCUCACCAGCAUUUUGUAUCAUCAGUCUUGUUAAUUUUAACCAUUCUAAUCUGUGUGUA